AUGUCAGACAAAUCAAAGAUGGCGGUGCCCGUGUCCAGGCUCAUAACGGCUGUCAUGGAAGGGGAAAGUGAAGCAUCAAGAACUACCAAACAGAUUGCACAGACAAGCUCCAUUCAAGAGAUAUCGCAGACAGGUACUGAGGAAGGUAGUUCAAACCCUAACCCUACCCCUGAUUCUGACUCU